GUGUUUGGCUCCCGGUUUACCGCACAGAUGCAUUAUUUCCAGCCAAAAUGGCCUCAUGCCACUAAAGUAUGUGCCGUACGUGUUGCAAUCCAUAUGCAUUCUUUAAAAAAAAAAAUAUAUAUAUUUAUAUAUAUGCAAGUGCACGUCUGUAGGAAGCCAACUGUGGUGGAGAAGGAGGAGGCUUGUUUGGCUUGAUAAUCACGUGCCUGCUCGAGAUAAGGAAAAAGUGUUUUGUGAAAAGAAAACAUGGGCGGCAGUCCUCCAUCCCGGCUGACCCCGGCGCUGUAGCCCUUGUGAUUGGGGUCAGCCUGGAGAUUCCUCUCUGGCCAGCUAAUGUGAUUGCAUCGGAGCAAUCCCCUUAAACGCCAUCAGCUCUGAUCUGCAUAGUAAUUGGCUCGACUCUCCUUGGACGUGACCUUGGGGAGGGGCGCUGUCACUCCUGCCGCUCUCUCCUGUACUGGCAAUCAUACACACACAUACAAACUCGCACACGCACACGCAGUGGCAACAUGGCCACGCAUGCAUGCACAGACAAGGUGAGGAGCGCAGGUUUGGAAACCGACUGCAAACUGACGGAGAAAUUCAGGUGACAGGUGUUAAUAAACUACGAGGAAAUGGGCGAUAUCAACACGUAUUAUAAGAUAAUGACAAACUAAGUGUCGCACAUUGACACAGGUGUCUGUCACUGUGUUGGUGGAGCAUCCUAAGUGAGUUAGCAGGGGUUGCAGACCAAAGUCAUCCGCACUGGAAACCCACGACAGUGUGUGGCAAAUGGCGCCGAAAGUGCCCCUCAAAGCUUCUUUAAGUAUAAAUGAGCCUGUUGCUGUGAUUAGCAGUAAUUCAUAAAGGAACAGGCAGCGGUUAAGUCAUCCUGCUGCAGUUCUAUUUUUCAAACGCCCCGUAACCUUCUCUCUUUUUGUCCUUCUUGCAUCAGCACUAUUUGUUGAAGAUCUUAACGAAAGACAAAGAAGCAAAUGUAUAUUUUAUGAAUGUAUGCCUCUGGUUUAUCUUCCUUUGUGGGGCUUGUGUAUACAACCGAAACCAGCUCUCGCAGAGAAAAGCGCCUUUUCUUCUCCUGUCCCCCGAUGUCAACGACAAGGAUCUCCUUGCAGAUCCCGUAGGACUCCUUUGGCUGUCGUCCCAUCAGAACUCCUCUCUUCAAGGAGAGACGGCUCGAUGGUGCUCAGAUGGAGAGAGCGCUGUCAGAGGAGUGGCAUGUGACUAAUCAGACCGCUCCACCCAUUGUCCGCCUACCCACAGAGGAAUCAGCUGAUUCGUCUUUCUAUCCAUCCGGUGUGCAGAAAACAGAAGAACUUUUGCAACACAUGUAACAACCUAAUCUUGACUGUAAUGUGAUUGCUGAAUUUAGUGCAGUAACUCAUUGGAUUACAGCAUUAUUGAAAAAUGUAACGUAAUUACAGUCACGUGUUACUUUGGAACAUCUUGUGCCCAGAAUCAGUUUUGGAAACAUUCCAAUAAUCUUUUCUCCCUUUUCUUACAAUUCAGUCAUCCACCCAUGAACACAGACAUUUACUAUAUUAAGCUAAGUGAGGUUGUAUUUUGUCAAUAGUUAGCGAGCUAGCUAGUUUGAGGAAAUAGGUAUUUUGCAAAAAGCAAAAUUGGACUUCACAUGUGUUGAAAGUGGACUGCAUUCACUUUCAACACAAAUAACGGUUAAAAAAAAAAAGAAGAAAAAACUACCAGGUAGCUUUUGGAGGGUUACUCUAGUUAGGCUAACUGUUUUGAGUUUGCCACCUUGGUUGCUAAGACUGUUUUGAUUUUGUGUGUUUGUCUGGUCAGUUUCUUUCCAGUUAUUAAAAAUAUCUGCAUGACGUGUCGUAGGUAUAAAUGAGUGUGUUUGCUGAGAUGUAGAGGUACCUGACCAGGCUAUUUGUGUCCCUAGUUGGGCAUUUCGUGGCUUUCAGAUGAUUGGCUCCAGGCUGAGGAAAACCGUCUACACUAAGAGCCAAGACAACAAUAGCGCCAGAUUCUGUAUGAAGUAAGGUCAACAUACCCAGGAUAUAUUUCCUGCCUUCACUUACCCUAACACUGGCAAUCAGGCUAAACAGUCACAUGAAGGUAGAUAUCACCUCAAUACAUUAAUCCAGAGUUUCACCGUCUAGCUAAAAUCAUGUUCACAUGAAAAGGGUGGUGUCAGCAGCAAGUGACCAAUCACGAACAAGGAGUUUACUGUCAGCGCAGUGACUGGUUUUAAAAGGGAACAUAAAAGUAUAGUUUUACUAAAGUGCGACCAAUUAAGCACAAAUUAAAAGAUAAAAAUAACACAGCUUCUCUGGACAAAUCUGCAGUGUGAGAGUGUGUUUUAGGAAAUGUACAGCAGCAAAGAAUUAAAAUGGGUAUGCACACUGGACAAGAUCUUGUAUAUUACUAAAGUUUAGCCUAUUUGAAGUCAGGAAGCAAAGCCAGCAAAAGUGCUGACUGUGUGAGUUUACAUACUUAUAAAAUAUUACAACUCUGUCGUAACAGAGAAACAAGAGAAUCUGAUGUGUUACGUUAUUCCGUUAAAUUAAUGUUUAGAUGUGCACUGGACAGUUUUAGCUUUCACUCUUUCAGCUGCAGCCCUGGUGGUGUUUAAAGAUCUGAGAGAAAAAUAUAAACAGUUUAGGAUACUGUACACAAUAAAACUGUAAAAGCUUCAAAGAAUAAUCAAAGAAUAAACUUGCAUCAAAAAUUCUAUAAUUACUACAGAUUAUCAUCAUGAAAAGGCAAACAAUUUAAAGACUCUCACUCUCUCCCCUUUUACUGUCUUACCAUCCUAUAGAGGUCCCACGGAUCUUCCAGGAAUGUAGAUGCAAUUUUCCAAAGAACCGACUGGUCAGUAGGAAGUGAUUUCAUAUCUGCCGAUCUCUAAUCGCUAACAUAAUCUGCUCCAAAGCAGAUUAGAUCUGCAUAGGCAUAAGUUAACAAGUACGCCAGUAAGACUUCUCAAAGCCCAGUUCAUAGUAAAGGGCUCAGGUCAACCUGCCAUGCAUCUUUCUACCUGUUGCUGCUAUUUUAAUUGUCAGUCUGAAGCAGUUUUCAUCGGUGAGCUGCCAUUUAUUUUGUUGAACUGGGUUUCUCCUGUAAGGUGUUUUCCUGUAUUAUGACGAAUGGGAACUUCUUGAAAAGGUUAACUAAUUUCAACACUUGCAUUUUGUAAACACAGCAUAUAUCAAUUUUAAAACAACCAAGUUGUGCCUUUGGGAAAGAGGAAGAUGGAUUUUUAGUUGCAUUUCAGCAAUAGGUAUAGAUGUACUGUUAGGCUCGUAAACACAGCUGAGUAAGGGUUAACGUCUUCUUUAAUUAAUGUACAUGCUGAGGGUCAGUCAGUGAGUGCACAAUCAGCAGAAACAAAUGUCACUGCAAAGCAGGAAGAAUACACCAAAAAUGAACAAUGCUGUGUUAGUAAUGAAUAUGUUACUGUGUGGUUGGAAUUAUUAGGCACCAAAAAGCUUGAGUCUGAUUUUCAUACUGAAACUUUACAAUAUUGUCUUUUAAUACAGGGUAACCCAAAUUAUCAGAGUAUAUCACGAAAUUUAAAAAAAA
rnacentral:lncRNA from 1 species